rnacentral:rRNA from 1 species
CAUGCAAGUCGUACGCACUGGCCCAACUGAUUGAUGGUGCUUGCACCUGAUUGACGUUGGAUCACCAGUGAGUGGCGGACGGGUGAGUAACACGUAGGUAACCUGCCCCGGAGCGGGGGAUAACAUUUGGAAACAGAUGCUAAUACCGCAUAACAACAAAAGCCACAUGGCUUUUGUUUGAAAGAUGGCUUUGGCUAUCACUCUGGGAUGGACCUGCGGUGCAUUAGCUAGUUGGUAAGGUAACGGCUUACCAAGGCGAUGAUGCAUAGCCGAGUUGAGAGACUGAUCGGCCACAAUGGAACUGAGACACGGUCCAUACUCCUACGGGAGGCAGCAGUAGGGAAUCUUCCACAAUGGGCGCAAGCCUGAUGGAGCAACACCGCGUGAGUGAAGAAGGGUUUCGGCUCGUAAAGCUCUGUUGUUGGAGAAGAACGUGCGUGAGAGUAACUGUUCGCGCAGUGACGGUAUCCAACCAGAAAGUCACGGCUAACUACGUGCCAGCAGCCGCGGUAAUACGUAGGUGGCAAGCGUUAUCCGGAUUUAUUGGGCGUAAAGCGAGCGCAGGCGGUUGCCUAGGUCUGAUGUGAAAGCCUUCGGCUUAACCGAAGAAGUGCAUCGGAAACCGGGCAACUUGAGUGCAGAAGAGGACAGUGGAACUCCAUGUGUAGCGGUGGAAUGCGUAGAUAUAUGGAAGAACACCAGUGGCGAAGGCGGCU